AAUAUUGCGCAAUGGGCGGAGGCCUGACGCAGCGACGCCGCGUGGGGGAUGACGGCCUUCGGGUUGUAAACCUCUUUCAGCAGGGACGAAGCGCAAGUGACGGUACCUGCAGAAGAAGCACCGGCCAACUACGUGCCAGCAGCCGCGGUAAUACGUAGGUGGCAAGCGUUGUCCGGAUUUACUGGGCGUAAAGGGCGUGCAGGCGGUUUGUUAAGUCUAGGGUGAAAGCUCCCGGCUCAACUGGGAGAGGUCCUUGGAUACUGACAGACUUGAGGGAGGCAGAGGAGAAUGGAAUUCCCGGUGUAGUGGUGAUAUGCGUAGAUAUCGGGAGGAACACCAGUGGCGAAGGCGGUUCUCUGGGCCUUACCUGACGCUGAGACGCGAAAGCGUGGGGAGCGAAC
rnacentral:rRNA from 1 species